rnacentral:rRNA from 1 species
AGCAGCCGCGGUAAUUCCAGCUCCAAUAGCGUAUAUUAAAGUUGUUGCAGUUAAAAAGCUCGUAGUUGAAUUUCGGGGUCAGUAGGUUGGUCGUGCCACUGGUAUGCACUGGUCUCACUGAUUCCUCCUUCCUGAUGAACCGUAAUGCCAUUAAUUUGGUGUUGCGGGGAAUCUGGACUGUUACUUUGAAAAAAUUAGAGUGUUUAAAGCAGGCUAACGCUUGAAUACAUUAGCAUGGAAUAACGAAAUAGGACGUUUGAUUCUAUUUUGUUGGUUUCUAGGAUCGACGUAAUGAUUAAUAGGGAUAGUUGGGGGCAUUAGUAUUCAAUUGUCAGAGGUGAAAUUCUUGGAUCUAUUGAAGACUAACUACUGCGAAAGCAUUUGCCAAGGAUGUUUUCAUUAAUCAAGAACGAAAGUUAGGGGAUCGAAGACGAUCAGAUACCGUCGUAGUCUUAACCAUAAACUAUGCCGACUAGGGAUCGGAUGAUGUUAAUUUUUUAAUGACUCAUUCGGCGUCCG